GAGUUUCCUAGGCAAAGGAGCAGGAGUGAGAUGUACUUGGAUGAAAGGUUCUGAUGGGCCCACCUGCAGGCUGAGCUGGUACCUAAGCAGAGACAUAAACCUCUUCCACAUAAGCUCAUCAGACCCAUUGCCCAUCCUGGUGGCCAUGUGCCUCAGCCGUGAUGCUGCUCAGAGUGGAGAAGAUCUGUGCUGCCCACCUGGAGCCUACAUGCAGGAAUGCAGAAGAAGCACUUAGUCAUCUAAUGGUAUCACAGGUUUCCAGCUCAUAUACUCCCAUUAUAGAAAGUUGGAAGAUCUGCUCUGAGCCACUAUACAGAUCCAAAUCUGCCUGGCACAUCACCUGGCAGAGCCCCACUGCCAGCCUGUGGGCAGAAAAGCUAAAGAUGGAGCGGCAGACUCUUAGAAGAAACAGCAGUGCAGAACCAAGGAAGAUUGCUCUAAGAAAGGACCAGUUGUACUUCGUGGUGGAGGAGCUGCUGAAACUUGGGAAUCUGGGAGUAGAUAACAAAUUUGUAUCCUCUGUAGGCAAAAGAAAAACCAUCACAUUUACAGCAUUUGAUGAAGGGUGUGCUGAUAAUGAGAAGAUAUGAGGAAAAGCUCUUCCAGCCUGCAGGACAAGUCGUUCUGUGUGUUUCACAUCCAUAUCUACAUGACAGCAUGUCGUGGUUAAGCUCAACUUCCAGAACUUCUCCUGGCCCUAUAAUUAGAUCCCCAAGAGAUUCAGCUGAUCUUUGGAAAGGUAGCAAGUGCCAGAGACAAGUAAAUGCACGUAAGCCCCUGUGCCUGCCAUCUGUUGAGUAAAGCCUGCUGCCAGCUGCUUAUCGUGGGCUGCAGGUAAGAGCAGGGCUGUGGGGAAGGCAAGGGGAGAGAAUGCCCAUUUACAGAGUUUUGGUGAAGAUUCAUAAAGAAUACCAGAUUCCAAGCACAGCACUAUGGUUUGGGGAAUGGCAUUUGUGGAAAUACCGGAGCUUUUUUUAUAGCAGUGUUUAGCCUGCCAGGCAAACUGCACUGCCUAUCUUCCUGUGGAUAUUUUUGUAAUAGAGAUCGCUCAAGCCUUGUUCUCUUUAUGUCUCUGAAUACAAGAUGUUUGCAAGAUGUUAAGAUAUGCUUUCUGAGGCUUUCUUCUUGUGGGGACUCAUGCAAUACUCAUACAAGGCAGCUGGGUUUCCUUCCAUCUACUUCCAUGUUGAAUCAGAUCUUCAGUUGGUGUACCACAACGCUGGGUUGCGCUCAGCUCUUUGCAGCCACAUAACCCUAUGUGUUCAAACAGCAGUGGCUCCAUCAACUUUGAUUUAUUCCACACUACUUCUCGAGAUGACUCUACUUUUAUUAUUAUUUACAAGUCGGGCAAGGAGUGAAUGGAAGAACAACGGUGUCACAUUUCUAUAUUCAGUGGGCUGCCAUUUUGGGAUGUGUGUGGUUCUUAUUUUCAGCACAAACAAGUACACAGGGAUAGGAAAGCGUUCCUUUUUCCACAGCCCAGACUGAUCUCCUUGGGCACAUUACUGGACUAUGGCUAGGAGAAGUGCUCCUGAUGCAGCAUUCAGCAGUAUUUCCGAGGAGCCAGGGCCGCAGAGGAACGCUUUAUCUGUGCUUUGUCACUUUCGUCUGAUCCUGAUAUAGCUACAGCCCUGAAAAUAGAUAAUGUCUUAACAGUGCUGGUUAUCUGGAAAACUUUUCAGCAAAAUCCCUGCAGAUAAGAUAACUGAACUCCAUUCCUGGCCAGAAUUUAUUUGAUUUUGUGAGCAGCAAGACAGUUUCCCCAGACAUCCUGAUGAUGUUUACUCUCUUUCCAUUUUCCAAAAGCUAAGACUAAUUCUCAAUCAACAGCCAAGAAAGCGAGCUGCUGAUUUGAAGCUUCUUUCCAGAGGCUUAGUCCAUCAGAGACAUCCACCAUACUUAAAUUUCCAGUUUUUAAAGUAAAACAAAAUGCUUUAUACAG
rnacentral:lncRNA from 7 species